rnacentral:rRNA from 1 species
AGAGUUUGAUCCUGGCUCAGGACGAACGCUGGCGGCGUGCUUAACACAUGCAAGUCGAACGAAAAGACGGAAAGAGCUUGCUCUUUUCAGAAUUGAGUGGCAAACGGGUGAGUAACACGUAAACAACCUGCCUUCAGGAUGGGGACAACAGACGGAAACGACUGCUAAUACCGAAUAAGUUCCAAGAGCCGCAUGGCCCAUGGAAGAAAAGGUGGCCUCUACCUGUAAGCUAUCGCCUGAAGAGGGGUUUGCGUCUGAUUAGCUGGUUGGAGGGGUAACGGCCCACCAAGGCGACGAUCAGUAGCCGGUCUGAGAGGAUGAACGGCCACACUGGAACUGAGACACGGUCCAGACUCCUACGGGAGGCAGCAGUGGGGAAUCUUCCGCAAUGGGCGAAAGCCUGACGGAGCAACGCCGCGUGAGUGAUGACGGCCUUCGGGUUGUAAAACUCUGUGAUCCGGGACGAAAAGGCAGAGUGCGAAGAACAAACUGCAUUGACGGUACCGGAAAAGCAAGCCACGGCUAACUACGUGCCAGCAGCCGCGGUAAUACGUAGGUGGCAAGCGUUGUCCGGAUUUAUUGGGCGUAAAGGGAACGCAGGCGGUCUUUUAAGUCUGAUGUGAAAGCCUUCGGCUUAACCGGAGUAGUGCAUUGGAAACUGGAAGACUUGAGUGCAGAAGAGGAGAGUGGAACUCCAUGUGUAGCGGUGAAAUGCGUAGAUAUAUGGAAGAACACCAGUGGCGAAAGCGGCUCUCUGGUCUGUAACUGACGCUGAGGUUCGAAAGCGUGGGUAGCAAACAGGAUUAGAUACCCUGGUAGUCCACGCCGUAAACGAUGAAUGCUAGGUGUUGGAGGGUUUCCGCCCUUCAGUGCCGCAGCUAACGCAUUAAGCACUCCGCCUGGGGAGUACGACCGCAAGG